rnacentral:lncRNA from 1 species
UUCAAUUAUUUUAAUAAUUUCUAAAUAUUAGUAUUGUGAUAUGCUAAAAAAAAAAGAAAUAUUUUUUACUUUGAAAUACAACUUUCUUACCUAAAAUAAUGUUAGUCUAAUGUUCGAAGUAGAAUUGUUGCUUGUUGAAUUCAUAGCCAUUCGUUUAAUGACAAUUUUAUUGCGCGAAAAAUGAUUAAUGGCACGUUAUUUGCUCGCUGAGGGAAAUACUCGGUGAUAGGUUAAUGGACGUAAAAAAUGAACAGGCUGGCGUAAAGCGGCAGAGAGAUACGAGCCUCGACGAUGAUAGAUAUGGUUUAACCAGUCGUAAUUGUUUUGCGUUCGCUCUUAAUUGGGGCUACUUGUUCGUUACGUUUCUUCCGAAUGGGUAAGAAGCUAUGAAGUUUUAAUAAAUGCCUUGAUCGAGCUGUUAACAUGUUCUGUGGGGAAACAGGUAAAAAAAAAAAUCUUCAAUUCGUUAGUCAGCUUGUAUCAUCAUUAAUAAUAAACACAAAAAACGAAGAAUAAUGGAAUCAUAACUUGAAUUCACAAAUCGAUCGUAAAAUAAAGGUUAUUUUUUAUCUCUCUUUCUCUCUCUUGAUUCAUUGUUUCACUUCAACGAUGUAUUGCAGUUUUAUUAUUGAUUCAAAUGAACAAGACCAUUGGAUAGCCAGACUUUCCACAUCCUGUGUUUAGACUUUCUGAGUGAUUUCUAGGUCAGAUAACAAUUGGAAUAACUCGAUUGAAUUGGUAUACCGAUCAGUGAGACGGCAAAGGUGGUCGGCUCGCUUUCGAAAGUGAUGACCCCAGGGAGCGGUAAAGAUGCGUGCAGGUGCUUCCUCCUUGCAUUUUAUACCUAGAACAACACUAAUGCGAUGAAGAUUAGCUUACUUAAGUUCCCAUGAACUAUUUUUGAGCUUAAUCGUUUGCACUGAUCUCCUGUUAUACGUUGUAUACGUACGCCAGCUAGGUUGUAAUAGAUAAUUACUCCUGCGACCAGGUAGGGGGAUAGACGUUCCUGGAUCGCUAAUGAGCUUCUGGAAUAUUAUCGAUGCUCACGGUAAUGCUUAUAACUGCUUUUCAACUGAGAUUGUAAAUUUUCCGUUGUUCACUGAUUUCUGAGGGAAAGAUGCACGCCGAUUAUGCAUUGGUGGAAUAUAAUAGUGUUUUAAAGAAACACUGUUGCUUCUGAACGAAGAAUUAUCAAUAGAUUUGCCAGAAUGAAGCGAAGACGGACAUAUAUAUACUCAGAAAUGCAAAGAUAUUCAAAUAAUUGCUUCUUACGAAAUAGAAAUGAAUAUCGUAUAAUUCUUGGAAGGAAAAUAAACUGUAUAUUCUUCUUGAAUUCCAGAUGAUUAAAGCGCAAGCAUUAAGAUUUGUACAUAAAUACUCGAUCUUGCGUAAUAGAAAAACAUUGAAUUGUGAUCCCUUGACGAACUCGAAAAAAUUACAUGGCGAAAACUAUUGCAACGUCGGAAGUGGCAAUGCUCGGGAAGCGUACGGUUCUCAAAGGGUUAAUUGGGCAUAGUAAUUCUUCAGGUGACCAAGCUCCAUGGGAGUGGAACGGAGAAAACCCAGUUUUAUGCUUCGCAUUAAGUGCUUAUAUCUAUAUCUUUAUGUUGUAUCUGCUAAUUUAUAA